rnacentral:tRNA from 1 species
AGCGGGGUAGAGGGAAUUAGUAAACUCAUCAGGCCCAUGACCUGAAGACUGCAGGUUUGAAUCAUGUCCCCGCCU